rnacentral:rRNA from 1 species
GAUGAACGCUGGCGGCGUGCUUAACACAUGCAAGUCGAGCGGACAGACGCUGAUUUUGUGGGUUGCACGAGUGGCGAACGGGGGUGUAACACGUGUGUAACCUGCACUUGUAUUUGUGAUAACUUCAGGAAACUGGGGCUAAUACCGGAUAGGAUCUACUGCUGCAUGGUGGGGGUUGGAAAGAUUCGGCGGUUGGGGAUGGACUAGCGGGUUAUCAGCUGCAUGGGGGGGUAGUGGCUGUCCAAGGCUUUGACGGGUAGCCGGCCUGAGAGGGUGACCGGCGACAUUGGGACUGCGAGACGGACCAGAAGCCUACGGUCGGCAGUAGUGGGGAACCUUGCACAACGGGCGGAAGCGUGAGGCAGAAACCCCGCGUGCGGAAUGCCGUGUUACGGGGUGUAAACCGAUGUGUCCUGUGCUGAGGAGGUAGUGACGGUAAUGGGUAAAGAAGCACCGGCUAACUACGUG